ensembl:lncRNA
AUGCACAGCGGAUUUUAUUCAAGGUAUUUCCUUGUGCCAAAGAAAGGGGGGAGGGGGAUGAGAGCCAUUCUGGAUCUCCGUGCCCUGAACCGGCAUUUAAGGACAUACAAGUUCAGGAUGUUGACGCACGCCUCGCUGCUAUGGUUUGUACAAGCGGGCGACUGGUUCACAUCAAUUGACCUGAGGGAUGCUUAUUUCCACAUCCCCAUAUAUCCCCCACACCGAAAGUAUCUAAGAUUUGCUUUCCAGGGGAUAGCAUACGAGUUUGUAGUCCUGCCUUUUGGUCUCUCACUGAGCCCAAGGGUGUUUGUAAAAUGCACCGAGGCAGCAGUGGCCCCGCUCAGAAAAAAGGGCAUUCGGGUGGCCACAUACAUCGACGACUGGCUGGUGGCAGCCCCAACCCGCCAGGAAGCGGCUUGUCACACGAAUGCUCUCAUACACCACCUAGAGAGUUUGGGUUUCCAGAUAAACAUGGAAAAGAGCACAUUGAAGCCAACUCAGUGCAUUACUUUCAUAGGGCUCAGCCUAGACUCCCUCCGGGUGAGAGCUUUUCUGUCCCCAGAGAGAACAGCGACCAUGCUGUCAUCCCUAGCACUGUUUCGCAGAGGCAACACAGUGACCCUCAAACAGUGCCAGAGGCUGCUAGGUCUGAUGGCUUCUUCUCUAGUGGCGAUAACACUGGGACGCCUGCACAUGAGAGGCUUUCAGCGCUGGGUGGGGUCGCGGGGACUAGACCCUCACCGAGACGGCCACCGUCGCAUGAGAGUCUCGGCAGACUGUUCACUCGCUCUCCGCGAGUGGAAGAAGCCAGGUUUCUUGUCUCAGGGCGUUGCCAUGGGGGCGGUUUCAGCCAGGAAGGUGGUCUCCACAGAUGCCUCUCUUUCGGGCUGGGGGGCCACCCACGAAGGCAGAACAGUGAAUGGGGAAUGGGGCCCUCACAUGCGCUCCACCCACAUAAACUGUCUGGAACUGCUGGCAGUUCACCUGUCGCUAAAACAUUUUCUCCCUUUGGCUGAGAGGUCAUCAUGUUUUAGUGAGGUCGGACAAUUCCACUGUUGUGGCCUACAUCAACAGACAGGGGGGUCUGGGGUCCCACAAGUUACACACACUGGCACACAGACUGAUAGUCUGGAGCAGUGUCCACCUGCUGUCGCUGAGGGCAACUCACGUGCCGGGAAUCUUGAACUUUGGAGCAGAUCUUCUCUCCAGGGGCAACCCACUGUACGGAGACUGGAAGCUUCACCCAGAGGUGGUGAAGCAGAUCUGGCUGCGAUUCGGUCAGGCGACCGUAGACAUUUAUGCAUCCAGGGAGAAUGCUCAGUGUCCCCUGUUUUACUCGCUGCACGAUCAGAGAGCUCCACUCGGGGUGGAUGCUCUAGCUCACGAGUGGCCAAGAACCCUCCUCUAUGCUUUUCCCCCAGUGGCCCUCAUUUCUCCAACUCUGGCCAGAGUGAGAGAGAGAGGUCACUAUAUGAUCCUGAUAGCCCCGCACUGGCCAGGGAAGCACUGGCUGGCGGAGAUUUUUCAGUUGCUGUGCGGCCCACCUUGGCCAUUACCACUACGCAGAGACCUCCUGUCUCAGGCAUGGGGGGAAAUAUUCCACCCCCACCCAGAGAGGCUAGCUCUACGGGCUUGGCCCGUGAGUGGUUUAACCUGAACACAGUGGGGCUCCCUCAUAGUGUUAUCGACACUAUUCAGAGUUCUAGAGCAUCGUCUACUAGGACGCUAUAUGAGCACAAGUGGCGUGUGUUUGAAAGCUGGUGCUUAGAAUCACAGGCCAUCCCUUUUCAGUGCUCUGUGGCUGUGAUUUUGUCAUUUCUUCAGGCCCUGAUUGAUGAAGGUAAAGCCUUCUCCACCAUCAAGGUGUAUUUGGCAGCAAUUUCAGCCUGCCAUAUUGGUUUUGAGGGAAAGACUGUUGGUCAGCAUCCCCUAAUAUGCCGUUUCAUGAAGGGUGCACGGCGUAAAUUGCCUACAUCUAGGCCACUGGCUCCAUCAUGGGACCUUCCCACAGUAUUAGCUGCGCUCUCCUGUGGCCCAUUUGAACCCCUGGAACAGGUUGAGUUAAAAUUUCUGUCCUUGAAGACAGCUCUAUUAAUUGCUUUAGCUUCAGCUAAGCGUGUAGGAGAGAUCCACGCUCUCUCAGUGCAUCAGUCAUGCAUUCAGUUCUCCUCAGAUAAUACGAGGGUCAGUAUGCGGCUCAACCCUGCCUUCAUCCCAAAGGUUGUUGGCACAUGUUCCCCUAUAGAACUGCCGGCCUUUUACCCACCGCCUUUCUCCUCAGAGGAGCAACAGCGGCUGCAUACCUUGUAUCCAGUCCGUGCUCUGCGCAUUUAUAUGGACAGAACCCAGAGUGUCAGACAAAGUGACCAGCUGUUCGUGUCCUGGGCUAAACCACACAUGGGAAAGCCUGUGUCUAAACAGCGCCUCUCCCAUUGGAUAGUAGGAGCAAUUGCCCUGGCCUAUACUAGCAGGGGCCUUCAGCCUCCUGCUGGCUUGCGUGCGCAUUCCACUAGAGGUCUGGCAACCUCAUGGGCUCUUUUUAGGGGAGUUUCUAUUCAGGAGGUGUGUGCGGCUGCAUGCUGGGCCUCACCUCACACAUUUGCUAGGUUUUACAGGUUGGAUGUAACAGCACCUAACCUGGCGCAUUCAGUCCUCAGUGCAGGUUCUUCCCAGGUGGGAGCCUCUCCCCUGUGA